GACAGAGGUGCCGAGCGUUAGGCGGAAUCACUGGGCUUAAAGCGUGUGUAGGCGGAUUGGUAAGUACCUUGUGAAAUCCCACGGCUUAACCGUGGAACUGCUUGGUAUACUGCUUAUCUUGGGCCACUUAGGGGCUACCGGAACAAACGGUGGAGCGGUGAAAUGCGUAGAUAUCGUUUGGAACGCCAAUGGUGAAAACAGGUAGCUGGGAGUGUGCCGACGCUGAGACACGAAAGCCAGGGGAGCGAACAGG
rnacentral:rRNA from 1 species